rnacentral:lncRNA from 1 species
UUCCCUUUCCGAGUCAAAGAAAGGGGUGACAGACGCACCUGGAAAAUCGGGUCACUCCCACCCGAAUAUUGCGCUUUUCAGACCGGCUUAAAAAACGGCGCACCACGAGACUAUAUCCCACACCUGGCUCGGAGGGUCCUACGCCCGCCCACGGAGUCUCGCUGAUUGCUAGCACAGCAGUCUGAGAUCAAACUGCAAGGCGGCAGCGAGGCUGGGGGAGGGGCGCCCGCCAUUGCCCAGGCUUGCCUAGGUAAACAAAGCAGCCAGGAAGCUCGAACUGGGUGGAGCCCACCACAGCUCAAGGAGGCCUGCCUGCCUCUGUAGGCUCCACCUCUGGGGGCAGGGCACAGACAAACAAAAAGACAGCAGUAACCUCUGUGGGGGCCAAUAUUCAACAUUCUUAAAGAAAAGAAUUUUCAACCCAGAAUUUCAUAUCCAGCCAAACUAAGCUUCAUAAGUGAAGGUGUAAAGACCAUCGAGACUAGGAAGAAACUGCAUCAACUAACGAGCAAAAUCACCAGCUAACAUCAUAAUGACAGGAUCAAAUUCACACAUAACAAUAUUAACUUUAAAUGUAAAUGGACUAAAUUCUCCAAUUAAAAGACACAGACUGGCAAGUUGGAUAAAGAGUCAAGACCCAUCAGUGUGCUGUAUUCAGGAAACCCAUCUCACGUGCAGAGACACACAUAGGCUCAAAAUAAAAGGAUGGAGGAAGAUCUACCAAGCCAAUGGAAAACAAAAAAAGGCAGGGGUUGCAAUCCUAGUCUCUGAUAAAACAGACUUUAAACCAACAAAUAUCAAAAGAGACAAAGAAGGCCAUUACAUAAUGGUAAAGGGAUCAAUUCAACAAGAGGAGCUAACUAUCCUAAAUAUAUAUGCACCCAAUACAGGAGCACCCAGAUUCAUAAAGCAAGUCCUGAGUGACCUACAAAGAGACUUAGACUCCCACACAAUAAUAAUGGGAGACUUUAACACCCCACUGUCAACAUUAGACAGAUCAACGAGACAGAAAGUCAACAAGGAUACCCAGGAAUUGAACUCAGCUCUGCACCAAGCGGACCUAAUAGACAUCUACAGAACUCUCCAUGCCAAAUCAACAGAACAUACAUUCUUCUCAGCACCACACCACACCUAUUCCAAAAUUGACCACAUAGUUGGAAGUAAAACUCUCCUCAGCAAAUGUAAAA